rnacentral:rRNA from 1 species
UGGGGAAUAUUGCACAAUGGGCGGAAGCCUGAUGCAGCGACGCCGCGUGAGGGAUGACGGCCUUCGGGUUGUAAACCUCUUUCAGCAGGGACGAAGCGCAAGUGACGGUACCUGCAGAAGAAGCGCCGGCCAACUACGUGCCAGCAGCCGCGGUAAGACGUAGGGCGCGAGCGUUGUCCGGAUUUAUUGGGCGUAAAGAGCUCGUAGGCGGCUUGUCGCGUCGAAUGUGAAAACUUGGGGCUCAACCCCAAGCUUGCAUUCGAUACGGGCAGGCUAGAGUUCGGUAGGGGAGACUGGAAUUCCUGGUGUAGCGGUGAAAUGCGCAGAUAUCAGGAGGAACACCGGUGGCGAAGGCGGGUCUCUGGGCCGAUACUGACGCUGAGGAGCGAAAGCGUGGGGA